UGGGCCCCACGGGGGGCAGCAGUGGGGAAUAUUGCACAAUGGGGGAAACCCUGAUGCAGCAACGCCGCGUGAGUGAAGAAGUAUUUCGGUAUGUAAAGCUCUAUCAGCAGGGAAGAAAAUGACGGUACCUGACUAAGAAGCACCGGCUAAAUACGUGCCAGCAGCCGCGGUAAUACGUAUGGUGCAAGCGUUAUCCGGAUUUACUGGGUGUAAAGGGAGCGCAGGCGGUGCGGCAAGUCAGAUGUGAAAAACCGGGGCUCAACCCCGGGACUGCAGUUGAAACUGUCGGAGUAGAGUGUCGGAGG
rnacentral:rRNA from 1 species